rnacentral:rRNA from 2 species
UUAAGCGACUAAGCGUACACGGUGGAUGCCCUGGCAGUCAGAGGCGAUGAAGGACGUGCUAAUCUGCGAUAAGCGUCGGUAAGGUGAUAUGAACCGUUAUAACCGGCGAUUUCCGAAUGGGGAAACCCAGUGUGUUUCGACACACUAUCAUUAACUGAAUCCAUAGGUUAAUGAGGCGAACCGGGGGAACUGAAACAUCUAAGUACCCCGAGGAAAAGAAAUCAACCGAGAUUCCCCCAGUAGCGGCGAGCGAACGGGGAGGAGCCCAGAGCCUGAAUCAGUGUGUGUGUUAGUGGAAGCGUCUGGAAAGGCGCGCGAUACAGGGUGACAGCCCCGUACACAAAAAUGCACAUGCUGUGAGCUCGAUGAGUAGGGCGGGACACGUGGUAUCCUGUCUGAAUAUGGGGGGACCAUCCUCCAAGGCUAAAUACUCCUGACUGACCGAUAGUGAACCAGUACCGUGAGGGAAAGGCGAAAAGAACCCCGGCGAGGGGAGUGAAAAAGAACCUGAAACCGUGUACGUACAAGCAGUGGGAGCACGCUUAGGCGUGUGACUGCGUACCUUUUGUAUAAUGGGUCAGCGACUUAUAUUCUGUAGCAAGGUUAACCGAAUAGGGGAGCCGAAGGGAAACCGAGUCUUAACUGGGCGUUAAGUUGCAGGGUAUAGACCCGAAACCCGGUGAUCUAGCCAUGGGCAGGUUGAAGGUUGGGUAACACUAACUGGAGGACCGAACCGACUAAUGUUGAAAAAUUAGCGGAUGACUUGUGGCUGGGGGUGAAAGGCCAAUCAAACCGGGAGAUAGCUGGUUCUCCCCGAAAGCUAUUUAGGUAGCGCCUCGUGAAUUCAUCUCCGGGGGUAGAGCACUGUUUCGGCAAGGGGGUCAUCCCGACUUACCAACCCGAUGCAAACUGCGAAUACCGGAGAAUGUUAUCACGGGAGACACACGGCGGGUGCUAACGUCCGUCGUGAAGAGGGAAACAACCCAGACCGCCAGCUAAGGUCCCAAAGUCAUGGUUAAGUGGGAAACGAUGUGGGAAGGCCCAGACAGCCAGGAUGUUGGCUUAGAAGCAGCCAUCAUUUAAAGAAAGCGUAAUAGCUCACUGGUCGAGUCGGCCUGCGCGGAAGAUGUAACGGGGCUAAACCAUGCACCGAAGCUGCGGCAGCGACGCUUAUGCGUUGUUGGGUAGGGGAGCGUUCUGUAAGCCUGUGAAGGUGUACUGUGAGGUAUGCUGGAGGUAUCAGAAGUGCGAAUGCUGACAUAAGUAACGAUAAAGCGGGUGAAAAGCCCGCUCGCCGGAAGACCAAGGGUUCCUGUCCAACGUUAAUCGGGGCAGGGUGAGUCGACCCCUAAGGCGAGGCCGAAAGGCGUAGUCGAUGGGAAACAGGUUAAUAUUCCUGUACUUGGUGUUACUGCGAAGGGGGGACGGAGAAGGCUAUGUUGGCCGGGCGACGGUUGUCCCGGUUUAAGCGUGUAGGCUGGUUUUCCAGGCAAAUCCGGAAAAUCAAGGCUGAGGCGUGAUGACGAGGCACUACGGUGCUGAAGCAACAAAUGCCCUGCUUCCAGGAAAAGCCUCUAAGCAUCAGGUAACAUCAAAUCGUACCCCAAACCGACACAGGUGGUCAGGUAGAGAAUACCAAGGCGCUUGAGAGAACUCGGGUGAAGGAACUAGGCAAAAUGGUGCCGUAACUUCGGGAGAAGGCACGCUGAUAUGUAGGUGAAGCGACUCGCUGGUGGAGCUGAAAUCAGUCGAAGAUACCAGCUGGCUGCAACUGUUUAUUAAAAACACAGCACUGUGCAAACACGAAAGUGGACGUAUACGGUGUGACGCCUGCCCGGUGCCGGAAGGUUAAUUGAUGGGGUUAGCGCAAGCGAAGCUCUUGAUCGAAGCCCCGGUAAACGGCGGCCGUAACUAUAACGGUCCUAAGGUAGCGAAAUUCCUUGUCGGGUAAGUUCCGACCUGCACGAAUGGCGUAAUGAUGGCCAGGCUGUCUCCACCCGAGACUCAGUGAAAUUGAACUCGCUGUGAAGAUGCAGUGUACCCGCGGCAAGACGGAAAGACCCCGUGAACCUUUACUAUAGCUUGACACUGAACAUUGAGCCUUGAUGUGUAGGAUAGGUGGGAGGCUUUGAAGUGUGGACGCCAGUCUGCAUGGAGCCGACCUUGAAAUACCACCCUUUAAUGUUUGAUGUUCUAACGUUGACCCGUAAUCCGGGUUGCGGACAGUGUCUGGUGGGUAGUUUGACUGGGGCGGUCUCCUCCUAAAGAGUAACGGAGGAGCACGAAGGUUGGCUAAUCCUGGUCGGACAUCAGGAGGUUAGUGCAAUGGCAUAAGCCAGCUUGACUGCGAGCGUGACGGCGCGAGCAGGUGCGAAAGCAGGUCAUAGUGAUCCGGUGGUUCUGAAUGGAAGGGCCAUCGCUCAACGGAUAAAAGGUACUCCGGGGAUAACAGGCUGAUACCGCCCAAGAGUUCAUAUCGACGGCGGUGUUUGGCACCUCGAUGUCGGCUCAUCACAUCCUGGGGCUGAAGUAGGUCCCAAGGGUAUGGCUGUUCGCCAUUUAAAGUGGUACGCGAGCUGGGUUUAGAACGUCGUGAGACAGUUCGGUCCCUAUCUGCCGUGGGCGCUGGAGAACUGAGGGGGGCUGCUCCUAGUACGAGAGGACCGGAGUGGACGCAUCACUGGUGUUCGGGUUGUCAUGCCAAUGGCACUGCCCGGUAGCUAAAUGCGGAAGAGAUAAGUGCUGAAAGCAUCUAAGCACGAAACUUGCCCCGAGAUGAGUUCUCCCUGACCCUUUAAGGGUCCUGAAGGAACGUUGAAGACGACGACGUUGAUAGGCCGGGUGUGUAAGCGCAGCGAUGCGUUGAGCUAACCGGUACUAAUGAACCGUGAGGCUUAACCUU